GACCCAGUGGUGUACUGUGCACACCCACCGGAGAUAUUGUAGAGCAUAAGAAACGUCAGUGGGAGGUCCCCGUUCGACUCGGGGCUGGGUCA